rnacentral:rRNA from 1 species
AGGUUUCGAUUCUGGCUCAGGAUGAACGCUAGCUACAGGCUUAACACAUGCAAGUCGAGGGGCAGCAUUAUCGAAGCUUGCUUGAUAGAUGGCGACCGGCGCACGGGUGAGUAACGCGUAUCCAACCUUCCCUAUAGUAGAGAAUAGCCCGGCGAAAGUCGGAUUAAUGCUCUAUGUUGUAUUUAGAAGACAUCUGAAGAAUACCAAAGGUUUACCGCUAUAGGAUGGGGAUGCGUCUGAUUAGGUAGUAGGCGGGGUAACGGCCCACCUAGCCGACGAUCAGUAGGGGUUCUGAGAGGAAGGUCCCCCACAUUGGAACUGAGACACGGUCCAAACUCCUACGGGAGGCAGCAGUGAGGAAUAUUGGUCAAUGGACGGAAGUCUGAACCAGCCAAGUAGCCGUGCAGGAUGACGGCCCUAUGGGUUGUAAACUGCUUUUAUAUAGGGAUAAAGUCGGGGACGUGUCCCCGUUUGUAGGUACUAUAUGAAUAAGGACCGGCUAAUUCCGUGCCAGCCGCAGC